rnacentral:rRNA from 1 species
GACGAACGCUGGCGGCGUGCCUAAUACAUGCAAGUUGAGCGCUGAAGGUUGGUACUUGUCCCAACUGGCUGAGCAGCGAACGGGUGAGUAACGCGUGGGGAAUCUGCCUUUGAGCGGGGGACAACAUUUGGAAACGAAUGCUAAUACCGCAUAAAAACUUUAAACACAAGUUUUAAGUUUGAAAGAUGCAAUUGCAUCACUCAAAGAUGAUCCCGCGUUGUAUUAGCUAGUUGGUGAGGUAAAGGCUCACCAAGGCGAUGAUACAUAGCCGACCUGAGAGGGUGAUCGGCCACAUUGGGACUGAGACACGGCCCAAACUCCUACGGGAGGCAGCAGUAGGGAAUCUUCGGCAAUGGACGAAAGUCUGACCGAGCAACGCCGCGUGAGUGAAGAAGGUUUUCGGAUCGUAAAACUCUGUUGGUAGAGAAGAACGUUGGUGAGAGUGGAAAGCUCAUCAAGUGACGGUAACUACCCAGAGAGGGACGGCUAACUACGUG